rnacentral:lncRNA from 1 species
UCAGUCUGACCAUGCAACACAAAUGUUCUAGCCUGGGGAGCUGACUGAACCGGUGGUGGUGGAACUAUGUAGUCCUGCUGUAUAGUAGGUCCAGAUGGCCCAGAUGGUAGUGGUGGUGGUGGUGUGGUAGAGUCAUGCAGGGUGCUCCCCGGAAUCGGCAAUGGCUGGGCCUGGUGCCCAUCAAUCCUCUGACCCAGUCCUAAG